CAUAAGCUGCAUUGUUCGUAUACACAUUAAGUUUUAACCUUUAAGCUGUAAACGGGAGUUUUAUAUGAAAACCGGAAUGGCAGGCCCAAUCCAUUAUUGAUUGGGACAAACAGGAACGUUUUUGCGAACACCCACUUUGAGGAGUGGUGGUUUAAAACUUUCUAUGAUUCGAUACGGCAAAGGCGGCUUUCUU
rnacentral:other from 1 species